GGAGUAAAGCUUACUGUGAGAAGUCAGCAGACUUCGUAGUACCGGGGAGUAUUUUUACCGGGAAGGAC
rfam:Youngiibacter fragilis 232.1 contig_89, whole genome shotgun sequence.